ACCGGGAGUGGCGGCUCACUCCUGUAAUCCAGCUACCUGGAGGUCGGGUGAUUUGGAAUGUUUGAGGUCGGGAGUCCUGAUUUUCAGAUUCUGGCGUUGACUGAGCGUCCGCACUAAGCUUGUCAUUAAUAUGGUAACCCAGGAGGAGUCCAGGGUAACCAGGUUGACUAAGGAGGGGCGAACCGGGCCAGGGGGGAAACCCAGCAGCCAAAAGUCCCCGUGGUGAGCAGUAGUGGGAUAGCGCUCGGGAGUCGGAACUGUGGGUCAGCCCGACCAACACAAUGUGACAAUCACCUUU
rnacentral:SRP_RNA from 1 species